rnacentral:lncRNA from 1 species
CACGGAAGUAAGAUAAUAGAAGUGUUCCAGCACGCGGAAGCCUGGAAGAGAGGAACUGGACCCAGAUGGUGCGGUGGUUCCGAGCCUCCGCCCCGGUCUAAGCCAGGGUGGUGUCCCCAGCAGGCUUCUCAGUUCACAUUGCAUCAGGGCAGGUGGGAAUGGUAGGGGCGGAUUUCAGAGGCUAAAAGGUAAAAGACAAGAAACUCUAGGUCUAAAGCCUAUACGGAGACAAGAUCUCCGGCUCAUCUACUCAAUCGUAGACUUGCCUAGGAGCAAAUAUUUUAGUUUAACUCUGACAUCUUACGUUUGCUUUAUAUAUUUUUUUCUUCUACUCUGUUCCUUUACUUUCCUUUCAUGCCUUCGUUCAGACAAUUCCACCCUCAUCAACGUCUAGGUUGUUAUACGUUCCUUAUGCCUUUACUAGUGUUUCAGUUAAUUACUGUUCAAAGACCCCAAAAGGUACUGCCUUUAAGCAAUAACUGUUUUGUUAACUCAUGACUCCGGAGUCUGGCUCAGGAAUUCAUUGGGGUUGCAGUAUAGGCAGCUCAUCUCCACACCAUGAUGGCUGGGACCUGACUAGGAUGGCCCACUAGGGCCACAUGUCUCAGAGCACAGCGAUAGCUUUAGAACCUCCUAAUAAAAAUAAGAUGACCAUGAAGUGGGAAAGAAGGUGGAAGGUAAGAAAGCUGGAGUAGAAAGAAGACUGCUGGCCUGUCACUUCUCCUCCUGGCUAACUUAGGCUUCCUCAUGGAUGGUAAUCUUAGAAGAGGGGCAUUCCAAGAGAGCAGGCCUCUAUAAGCAAGCCUUUACUUGCACCGUACUUCCUGUGUCAUUGGCCAAAAAGCAAGUCAUAUGGCUGAGCAGCACCAGUAUGGGAGGGGACCACACCAGGCCCUGGAUAUGGGAGGUAUGGUUCAUUGGGAUUAUUUAGGUUAGGGAUAGAUUACCUUAAUGUAGCUAGAGAUUAAAAUUUACUUCCAGAACCAGACACAGUGGAAUGUAUCUGUAGUCCUAUGUGCUCAGGAAACCGAGGCAUGAAGAUCAAUUGCUCCCAGGAAUUCAAGGCUAGGUGUGUGUGUGGGGGGGGGCGGGCACACAAUGACAAGGGACCAGAAUGUAGCACCUUAGAUUAAAAUCCUUCCUCAGGCCCUGAACUGCCUGCCCCCUUGAGGCAAUUGAAAACUAGUUUCUUAACCUGUCUACUACUGCUUUCUGAAAAUUAAUUGCCUUAAAGUGAAAAAUGGCACCAAGUUCUGAACUCAACACUUGGAUUUAGAUUCCUCAGAUUAUACUAAAGUUCUAACUGUUCCAGAAAACAUAUCCAUCCCCAGCUGGGUAUAGUAGCCAUUGCCUAUAAUCCCAGCAACUUGGGAGAAUGAGGC